rnacentral:rRNA from 1 species
AGACCCGAAACCCGGUGAUCUAGCCAUGGGCAGGUUGAAGGUUGGGUAACACUAACUGGAGGACCGAACCGACUAAUGUUGAAAAAUUAGCGGAUGACCUGUGGCUGGGGGUGAAAGGCCAAUCAAACCGGGAGAUAGCUGGUUCUCCCCGAAAGCUAUUUAGGUAGCGCCUCGUGAAUUCAUCUCCGGGGGUAGAGCACUGUUUCGGCUAGGGGGCCAUCCCGGCUUACCAACCCGAUGCAAACUGCGAAUACCGGAGAAUGUUAUCACGGGAGACACACGGCGGGUGCUAACGUCCGUCGUGAAGAGGGAAACAACCCAGACCGCCAGCUAAGGUCCCAAAGUCAUGGUUAAGUGGGAAACGAUGUGGGAAGGCCCAGACAGCCAGGAUGUUGGCUUAGAAGCAGCCAUCAUUUAAAGAAAGCGUAAUAGCUCACUGGUCGAGUCGGCCUGCGCGGAAGAUGUAACGGGGCUAAACCAUGCACCGAAGCUGCGGCAGCGACGCUGAUGCGUUGUUGGGUAGGGGAGCGUUCUGUAAGCCUGUGAAGGUGGCCUGUGAGGGUUGCUGGAGGUAUCAGAAGUGCGAAUGCUGACAUAAGUAACGAUAAAGCGGGUGAAAAGCCCGCUCGCCGGAAGACCAAGGGUUCCUGUCCAACGUUAAUCGGGGCAGG